rnacentral:lncRNA from 1 species
CGCCGAUUGAAUGCUAGAGAUCCUCAGUCCUUUUGAAAGAUCUGGUCAUGGCGAGCAGUAGCAAGGAACAAAAGGCGACUGGAGCUUCAGAAAAGUUGCAGAUCGUGAAUACGGGGAUGGAAGACCCCCUGAGUCUUCAAACAUCUUAUCAUCCAGGUAUGAGCCUAGUCUCUGCACCUCUUGUAGGACUUAAUUUCAGAUCUUGGAGUAGGGCCGUUAAAAUAGCCCUAGGAGCCAAGAUGAAAUUGAGAUUUGUCGAAGGCACUACUUCGACACCUAGUAAAGACACUGAGGGAUAUGAAUAGUGGAAAAGAUGUGACUUCAUGGUCACAUCUUGGAUUCUCAACUCCAUCUCUAAGGAGUUAGUUGAUGGAUUUAUAUACACCGCCUCUGCCAGAGAUCUCUGGCAAGAGAUCUGCGAGAGAUUUGGAGAGUGCAAUGGUCCUAUGAUCUACGAGUUACACAGGAAAAUAUCCCUUAUCUCCCAAGAAAAUCAGUCUGUGUCAGUCUACUUCACUAAGCUGAAGAGGCUGUGGGAUGAGCUUGGGUCUGUAGAACCUCUUCCAACAUGUACCUGUGGAGCCUCUAGGGCCAUAGCUGAAAUAACGAACAGGAAUAGGCUCAUGCAAUUCCUGAUGGGUCUAAAUGAGGCCUUCGGGUCUGUGAGAGAUCAGGUAUUGGGGAUGGACCCUUUACCAACUGUAAACAAGGCUUACUCAAUGGUUGUAAAAUUUGAGUCUCAAAGGGAGAUUCUAGGGGCAAUGAAUGACAACUCAGAAUCUCUUGCCCUAUUGAAUAAGGCUCAAGCUCAGAGUCUAUCCAGACCAAGAAGGUCUGAGGUCAAGAAGGGUCACUGCACCUUCUGCAACAUGGAUGGCCACACUCGAGAAGGGUGUUUUAGAUUGAUUGGGUAUCCUGAUUGGUUCAAGACUAAGAACAAGGUAGGAACCCAAUCUUUCAAAGGCAAUAGAAGCACCAAAGUUAUGGCUGCUAUUGAAGGGAACAAAUCAGAAGAGGAUAACCCUCUGGAAUAUCUAGACCCAUCAAGUAAAAUACAUGAAUUGACAUCCAUGCUGAGCUCUUUAAAGCAAAAAGUUUCUCAGCUUGUGAAGGGGAAAGGGACUCUUGCCCCAAGCACUUCUUAUGGAUCUGAGGCACAUUUCAUAGACUUUGCAGGUAAGCCUACUCUCUAUAACACUUGCAAUGCUGAAAUGCAAACUGACUCUGAUUGGAUCCUAGACACUGGUGCCACAAAUCACAUGUGUUCAGACAGCCCUGUUCACCACUUUGCACCCACUACACAAGCACAUUUGUGUGUGCUUUCCAGAUGGGAAAACAACUCAGGUUACUCAAUCUGGAAAGCUAAAUCUCUUUGGCAAAUUGAUUUUAGAUGAUGUUCUUUAUAUUCCACAUUUUCAAUACAAUUUGAUUUCUGUUGGUCAAUUAAUGAGUAGCCAUGGAUACUGUAUAGUAAUGUGGAAGGAUUAUUGCCUUAUACAGGACCCACUGAGUAAGAAGGUGGUGGCCAUAGGCAAGAAACAAAGAGGCCUCUUCAGGCUGAACCAAAUGAGCUUUUCUCAUUCUAAUGUAAGAAAUUGUUUGUUUGAAAUCAUGAACUCUAAUACUGAUCUUCACAGCUUUGUAAAUAGCACUCUCUUCCAUAUGGAGUUGAAUAAAGAACAUUCCAUGCAAUUUGAACAGAGACAUAAACAUGUAGUGACCAUGAAUGAUAUGCAUGAUAGACUAGGGCAUGCAUCAGUAGGUAAACUCAAACAUGUUAAAGGCAUAAAUAUCAGUAAUUAGGCCAUGAAAUGCUGUCCUGUCUGUCCCCUAGCUAAACAAGCCAAAUUACCUUUUUCCAGAAGUCACACCUUAGCCUCAAAACCUUUUGAAUUAAUUCACAUUGACAUAUGGGGGCCAUAUAAGACCAGCUCUAUCACUGGAGCUAAGUUCUUCCUCACCAUUGUUGAUGAUUAUAGUAGGGCUGUGUGGACUUUUAUGAUGCACUUAAAAGGUCAGGCCUUUAGUUUGACUAAACACUUUAUACACAUGGUAGAAAAUCAGUUUAAUACCACCAUCAAAGUCAUUAGAAGUGACAAUGGAAAGGAGUUUCUAAGCCAUAAUUAUAGUUCUCUGCUUAUGAGUAAGGGGAUUAAGCACCAAAGAUCAUGUUUGUACACUCCACAACAGAAUGGAGUUGUGGAGAGGAAACACAAACACAUACUUGACACUGCUAGAGCCUUGAAAAUGCAAUCACAAGUCCCUAUCCAAUUCUGGUCAGAAUGUAUAUUAACUGCUACUUACCUAAUUAAUAGAAUGCCUAUGGAGCAUUUUAAUUGGUCCACGCCUUAUGAGAGGCUCUAUGGGACCUCACCUAACUAUUCUCACCUGAGAAAGUUUGGUUGCUUGUGUUUUGCUACUUCUGUGGGAACUCAGAAGGACAAAUUUCAAGAAAGAGCCAUUAAAGCUGUGAUGAUAGGUUAUGCCAGGACACACAAAGCCUAUAAGCUUUAUAACAUCAGUGAUAAAACCUUCUUUAUUAGUAGGGAUGUCGUUUUCCAUGAAAACAUAUUUCCCUUCCAAAACACUAAUCUGAUUGAGAACUCUGUGGUUCCUAUUCCUGUGAUUGAGAAUGAUUGCCCAGAUGUUGAUUUCUGUCCAUCUGGUCACACCAGUGAUAACAUAUAGAAAUAUCCUUCAGUUAGAAGGACCCAAAGGCAUAGGCAAGCGCAUGUCUGGAUGCAGGACUAUGUAAAUUCCCAACAAGCAUCCUUAAUGAUCAAUAAUCCCUUACAUCAGUCUUACAUUUGCAAUAUCAAUAAGGUCACUGAACCUUGUACUUACACUCAAGCAUCUAAGGAUGCACAUUGGGUUGAAGCCAUGAAGCAAGAGCUUCAGGCCCUGGAAAAUAAUAACACCUGGGUGCUCACUAAUUUACCUAAAGGAAAAAAGGUAAUAGGCUGUAAAUGGGUCUAUAAAGUAAAAUUUAAGCCAAAUGGGGAUGUAGAGAGAUAUAAGGCUCGGUUGGUGGCCAAGGGUUACAACCAAAUUGAGGGGUUGGAUUACAAAGAUAGAUUUUCACCUGUGGCCAAGCUUACGACUGUAAGAAUUUUCAUUGCUCUUGCUACUUCCAGACAAUGGCCAAUUUUCCAAUUGGAUAUAAAUAAUGCUUUUUUACAUGGAUAUCUUGAUGAAGAGGUGUACAUGACACCUCCCCAAGGUUAUCACAGAGCCCAGCCAGGGCAAGUUUGCUUGCUUAAAUGGUCAUUAUAUGGGCUUAAACAAGCCUCUAGAUAGUGGAACAUUGAAUUUACCAAUUUCCUCAAAAGUUUGGACUUUGUGCAGUCCCCACAUGAUCACUGCCUCUUUACCCAGCACACUGGUACUGUAACUUUGAUACUGCUUGUGUAUGUUGAUGAUAUUAUUUUAACUGGAAACUCCAUUAAUGCCAUUACUAAGUGCAAGCUUGCUUUACAUUCAAAAUUUACUAUCAAGGAUUUGGGGCCUAUGAAAUACUUUUUGGGCCUAGAGGUUGCUAGAUCCUCUCAAGCAACUUUACUUAGUCAAGCUAAGUAUAUUUCAGACAUAUUGAAAGAUGCAGGCAUGCUUCACUGUAAACCUGUCUCUUGUCCUUUACCUCAAGGCUUGCAUUUGUCUCCUGAAUCAGGAGAGCUUUUUGAUAAACCUGAUUUAUAUAGGAGACUUCUUGGCAGGCUUCUUUAUGUCAAUCUCACAAGGCCUGAUAUAUGCUAUGCUGUGCGACACUUGAGCCAAUUUAUGAGCAUGCCCCGAAAACCUCAUUAGGAGGCUGCUUUACAUGUGCUUCGCUAUCUUAAGGGCUCCUUACGUCAAGGGCUUUGUUUUCCUGUAGAUACUGAUCUAUCUUUACAUGCCUACUAUGACUCUGAUUGGGCAGCUUGUACUUAUUCCAGAAAGUCACUCUCUGGAUAUUGCAUAUACUUGGGUCCUUACCUUGUUUCUUGGAAAACAAAGAAACAGUCUACUGUUUCUAAAUCCUCAGCUGAAGCUGAGUAUCGUGCAAUGGCUAACACUGUGUGUGAACUCUUCUGGAUUAGCUAUAUUUUACAGGAUUUGCAGGUUCACAUUCAACUGCCCAUUCCACUGCACUGUGAUAGCAAAGCUGCCAUGCAUAUUGCUGCCAAUCCGGUCUUCCAUGAGCGCACGAAGCAU